UACGAAGGGGGCUAGCGUUGCUCGGAAUUACUGGGCGUAAAGGGAGCGUAGGCGGACAGUUUAGUCAGAGGUGAAAGCCCAGGGCUCAACCCUGGAAUUGCCUUUGAUACUGAUUGUCUUGAGUAUGGGAGAGGUGUGUGGAACUCCGAGUGUAGAGGUGAAAUUCGUAGAUAUUCGGAAGAACACCAGUGGCGAAGGCGGCUCACUGGCCCGGUACUGACGCUGAGGUGCGAAAGCGUGGGGAGCAAACAGG
rnacentral:rRNA from 1 species